rnacentral:rRNA from 1 species
AGUAAACGCUGGCGGUAGGCCUAACACAUGCAAGUCGAACGGCAGCACAGUAAGAGCUUGCUCUUACGGGUGGCGAGUGGCGGACGGGUGAGGAAUACAUCGGAAUCUACUUUUUCGUGGGGGAUAACGUAGGGAAACUUACGCUAAUACCGCAUACGACCUACGGGUGAAAGCAGGGGAUCUUCGGACCUUGCGCGAUUGAAUGAGCCGAUGUCGGAUUAGCUAGUUGGCGGGGUAAAGGCCCACCAAGGCGACGAUCCGUAGCUGGUCUGAGAGGAUGAUCAGCCACACUGGAACUGAGACACGGUCCAGACUCCUACGGGAGGCAGCAGUGGGGAAUAUUGGACAAUGGGCGCAAGCCUGAUCCAGCCAUACCGCGUGGGUGAAGAAGGCCUUCGGGUUGUAAAGCCCUUUUGUUGGGAAAGAAAAGCAGCAGGUUAAUACCCCGCUGUUCUGACGGUACCCAAAGAAUAAGCGCCGGCUAACUUCGUG